rnacentral:lncRNA from 1 species
GCGAGAUGUCAGUAAGGGUUUGUGCACAUAGUUGUGACCGUGAGUCAUCGAGCGGGUUGGCCGGUCACUGUGAUCGGGAGCCUUCGGGCCGAUCACUGUGUUUGAGAAGGAGGCCUACUUCUCAACACAAGGUUACAUGAUGCGUAGUUAUGGUACAUACAUGUUAAUUGUGCAGACGUAUAUGAUAUUAUGAUGAUAUAUAUAUAGAAGUUUUACAGUUUUGGCGUGCACAGGUUAUUUAAAUAAAACUCCUGUGUGAUGCUUGAGAUGGCAAGUUCAAUAUAUAGCUCUAAGAGCAAACUUUAAAGUUAUUUCGGCAUGUGACCAUUGAGUACCUUUUUAGUACUCAGCCCUGCAUAUGUUUCUAAAUGUGCAGGUUAAGCUGUGAUGCAGAUGGAGGCGAGCAGAGCAAAGCUUUUGAAGUAUAAGUAUUAAAUUAGGCUCAGGAUUCCAUGUCUUCAUACAUGUAAUCCACUUAAGUAUUUCCGCUGCAACACUUAGUGUAUUUUACUUUAUUGAUGUGUUGUAUAGAUUUUAAAUCAAUAGCUUUGAGAAUUAUGUCACUGGAAAAUUUGACAACUUGUCGUUGUGUUAUUGUGAGUUGUCUGCCUAAGCAGUUUAGAAAAGAUUGCUCAUGAGUUUUAAAAGUGAUUUGCUCAUGAUUAUUCAAUACUAAAGUAAUUCAUCGUUAAAGAGGGUUCAUUAUUAUUAUUUAAAUCUCUUUCCUUUUUCAUUUUCUUUCUCCUUUUUCCCAGUCACACCUUUCCCCGGCUUAACUAUACACUAUAUUAGGCCGGGCUGUGACAAAGUGGUAUCAGAGCAGGUCGUUUGCUCUGAGCCUAAAUAUUCCUUUGAGUCUAGUCUAAAUUUGAAUCUUUGGACUAGUGUGAGUAAUAUAGUAAAAGCUCUGCUCUCCAUCUCAUCCAACUUAGCCAGGUACGGAUUUUCAGAGUUUUGAAGUAGCAUGUUACAUUUUUAAACAAGUUUUAGAUAUGAGUUGCAGUUUUGCAAGUAUUAGUAUGAUGGAAACUUAUAUAUUUUAAAAUGAGCAUGGACAACAUGAGUUAUUUAUGAGUAUCCUCUGCCUAUACGAACUUUUGAGAUUUGAAUGGAUAAAAGUGUUAUUCAUAUUUUAAUAUUUGUGUUUUGAUAUGUGGAUGGAGAUAUAGAAAGUUUGAUGAUACAAUAAUGACGUAUAUCAGUCGCGAUGUAACCUAGUACUAGUAGUGAUGUUAUACUAGUUACGGCACCACAAUUAAUACUAAGAGCUUUUUGCAACAUAUAUUCCUAUCUUUCGUAUGAGAACUCAUUGAGGCAAAUUUUCUCAUGAUAUGAAGUGAUCAAAGUGGUCAUNUGAGAAGGAGGCCUACUUCUCAACACUCAGAGUUAUUAUGAUGCGUAGAUAUGGUACAUACAUGUUAAUUGUCAGCAGACGUAUAUGAUGUUAUGAUGAUUAUAGAGAAGUUUUUAUAGUUUUGCAUGCACAGGUUAUUUAAAUAAAACCCAUGUGUGAUGCUUGAGAUGGCAAGUUCAAUAUAUAGCUCUAAGAGCAAGUUUAAAGUUAUUUCGGCAUGUAACCACUGAGUGCUAUUUGAUACUCAGCCCUGCGUAUGUUUCUAAAUAUGCAGGUUAAGCUGUGAUGUAGAUGGAAGCAAGCAGAGCAAAGCCUUCAGAGUAUAUUAAAUUAGGCUCAGGAUUCCAUGUCUUCAUACAUGUAAUCCACAUGAAUUAUCCGCUGCAACACUCAGUCUAUUCUACUUUGUUGAUGUGUUGUAACAAUAUUUUUAAAUCAAUAGCUUUGAGUAAUUAUAAUCACUUGAAAGUUAGACAACUUGUCGUUGUGUAUUGUAAGUUGUCUACUCAUGAGUUUUAAAAGUGAUUGCUUAUGAUUAUCCAAUAUUAAAGUAAUUCAUCGUUAAAGAGGGUUCAUUAUUAUUAUUUAAAUCUCUUUUAUUUUUCAUUUUCUUUUUCCCUUCCCCAGUCACACAUUUUCCCUGACUUAACUGUUGUUAGUUUAGGUCGGGCUGUGACAAAGUGGUAUCAGAGCAGGUUGUUUGCUCUGAGCCUAAACAUUCCCUUGAGUCUAGUCUAAAUUUGAAUCUUUAGACUAAAAUGAGUAAUAUAGUAAAAGCUCUGCGCUCCAUCUCAUCCAGCAUAGCCAGGUACUGAUUUUCAGAGUUUUAAAGAAUCAAUUUACAGUUUGAAAGAGUUUGAGUUGUUAAUAUUGCAACUUUGCAAGAAAGUUAUUAAUAUUGCAAUUUUGCAAGAAUCUAGUAUUUGGAGAAGUUUACAUGUUUACAAGUGAGUGAAUAUGAAUAACAUGAGUUAUUUAUGAGUAUCCUCUGCCUAUACGAACUUUUGAGAUUUGAAUGAAUAAAAGUGUUAUUCAUAUAUUAAUAUUUAUAUUUUGAUAUGUGGAUGGAGAUAUAUAUAGACAGAUUGAUGAUACAAUAAUGAUGUAUAUCAGUCGCGAUGUAACCUAGUACUAGUAGUGAUGUUAUACAGUUAGGGCACCACAAUCAGUACUAAGAGCUUUUUGCAACAUAUAUUCCUAUCUUUCGUAUGAGAACUCAUUGAGGCAAAUUUUCUCAUGAUAUGAAGUGAUCAGAGUGGUCAUUUACUAGGUUAUUAUUGAGCUUUACUUGCUUAGAUGAUUGAAUUUUUGUGUAUGAGUUUUAUAACUUAGUUGGAUUAUAGUUAAGUAGGAGUUUGACUUUACUGAUGGGAUGAAAGCUCAAUUUUGGAGAUUUUGUGUAUUUACUCGGCAUGAUGUCUCAAAGAAGCAGUGGAAAUCUGCCAUCCGCCAUGUGAAUAAUUUAGAGAACUACUCGUCCCCAUCAACUUGAAAGAAGAAUAGCAGAAGUUUUUCAUCGUCAAGAUCCCUUUAUUGCGAGUUAAGCGGUAGAGUUUCAAAGAGGCAGUAGAGUUUUACGAGUUUCGCUUCCUUAGAUGCAAUGAUCAAGAGCGCCUUCUUGUAUGUUAUUUCAACUACAAGGAUCGACUUAUNAGUAGUGGGAGACGAAGCAGAAGAUAUAUACCCUCGAGCGAUUAGAGAAUCUUAUUUGGGGCCAGUUCACAGAAGUUUUUAUGAAGAAUAUGUUUCCAGAAGCCGUCGUCAGCAAAAAGGAGACGUAAUUUAACAAUUUAAAGCAAUAGAAGAAGACAGUAGCUGAAUGUGAUCAAGGGUUUUGUGAUAUAGCUGGAUAUAUGCCUUAUAAGGCUGACACAUAUAUUAGUUGUAACUUUUGAUAGAGUUUUGAUGUAGUGCCUUUGCUUGUUGGCAAACCAAAUAUUCUUUCAGCUAUUGCAAGCCAAACAUUCCUUCAACUAAUGAAGAUAUCUCUUUUCCAUUUCAUCCCUCCCACCAAAAGUUUUGUUUGAAAUCUUGAUAUAAUUUAGUGCUUCUGUGGUGGGCAGUAUAUAGCGUAUCAUGAGCUUUACUCGUGAUUUUAUUUCUCAACUGUUCAGUAUUGGGUACACAACUUUUCUCAAACAUGAUAGCAGUACCCCUAGCUUUUUGGCAAGUAUUGACCCCUUCUAUCAAAAUCCUUACCCAUAAUUUUUCUCCUUUUUAUUUUCCCCAUGUACUUUAACAAUUCUUCUUCUCAAAUCAAAAAUCAUUGUUAACAUUGCAAUUACAGCUUCUCUUGUUUGCUGUGGUAGAACCAUUUGUAAAUCCAACUUUCAAAUCCUUGAUGAGAAUUUUUCUUCAUGGGUAAGGAGAAAUCCUUAGUAAACUUGAGUUUUUCUACUCAAGGCAUCCACUAUUAUAUUGGCUUUGCGUGGGUGAUAAUUUAUUCUACAAUCAUAGUCCCUUACUAAUUCGAGCUAUAUUCCUUGUCUCACACUUAGAUCUUUUGCUCGAAUAAGUAUUUUAAACUUUUAUGAGGUGUAUCAAUUCCACAUCUCGUUUCAGAAUACCAUUGUUGCUAGUUCCAAGUUAUGUUGAGCAAUUCAGUUCUUGUGGUCUAUGUUCUCAUGACCCAAUAACAAUAACUCUUUCACUUUGCAACAAUGCACAACCAAGUCCAUCUUUGAUACACAGGACCAAUUUUAUAUGGUCUUUCAACUUUGAGAAUUCGGCCAUAUUUUAAAAUAGCCUUUCAUCCAACAACAGAUGAGCAAUUUGAGAGAAAUCUUUAAACCUUAGAAGAUGUGACAUAGACUAUUGUACUAGAGCGAAGAAGUGGCGACCUUAGCAGUAGGGACACUGGCGAUCGUAAGAAAUUCUGGGUUCCAAAACUCUCUUUCCAAAAAUGAUUUUUCAGAAGGAGCGAAUUCCCCGCAAACAAGGCAGGAGACGACUAUCUCAAGGUGCAUCACGCGUACUCAGAAGCCGCAUUAUGCACUAGAUUGAAGGAUGAAUUGGGAAAACCUUUUGCUAGUAAUUGAAUUGGCCUACAAUUAUAGCUUUCGGGCAAUAAUUGAUAUGACACCAUAUGGAGCUUAUUGUGGAAAGAAAUAUUGAUCUCCACUCUAUUGACAUGAGGUAAGUGAAAGAAAAGUAACAGGACCUGAUGCGCUUGAAGAAAUGAUUACGCUUAUCCGACAAAUUCAACAACUGCUCAACGAACCUCAAGAGCGACAGAAAUUUUUUUUUGUAGAUACUCGUUGAUUUGAUUUGAAAUUUUUGAAAUAGGGGAUGAAGUUUUUCUCAGUGUUCCGCAUUCUAAGAAUGCACAAAUUCGAUGUGAAAGAGAAGUAUCUAGCAUUAUUCUCUGACGUAGUCAAAUUUCGAGGACGAAAUUUCUUUAAGGGGGAGAGGAUGUAACACCCAGCAUUUUCACUACAGUAUAUAUAUUAUUUUCUAUUAUCUAAAAGAAGAAAGAGAAGUAGAAUCACUGAGAUGAGAUGAGAUAUUAUUAUAAUACCUUGAGCUUUUAAUUCAAUGAUUGCAUAAUUUGAAUAAUUAAGUAUUCUUGCUUUCUUUAUUAUUUUCAUUCUUGGAAGCAAGUUUAUAAUUCCUAGUUAAAGGGAUUAUUUUAUUAUUUUUCAGAGAUGAGAUUGGUGAUAAAUACGAAAUAUUAUUAGUCGACUUAUUGCUCGGCUAAUUGAAGUGACGGAUGUUAUUUAAUUAUUUAUCUAUGAGCUUUCUUUUUUUUUAAUAGUGAUAGUUUGAGGAAAUUUAGUAUAUCGUGGACGGAGGGAGUAUUAUAUUUCAUUGGGUGUAUAAUAAUUUAUUAAUUUAGAUAGCUAUCAAAUACUACUUGAGCUUGGAGCACAAGUUUCGUGAGUCAUAUUAGUGUAGAGAAUUGCUUUUCUAAUUUAUUCUUAUUUUUAUUUGAUCUAAUUUGAGGGCCACAAAAUAAGGCUUAUAGGAAAAGCCAAGUUUUACCUCUUAUUAUUUAUUUCUUCUACAAACCUCAAAUGGGCCGAUCAAGUAAGGGAAAUGAGGUUUGAAUUAUAUUGCUCAUUUCUAUAAUUGGAUUUAAAUUUUUAAUGUUUGAGAUAAGCAUUUAUUUAUUGUAAAGUGUAUAUAUUAGUUUGAGGAGAUUCAUUUCCUUUUCUUCUCCCCAAAACAGUCGACCUUCUCCCCUCUCUCUUUAUGGAACCUCAGUUUAGUUUGCUUUCAACCUUCAAGAAGAUUCAGCCGCCACCUCUGCUCCGACCGCCGUCGGCUGCCGUCGAGUCCAAGUCCGACGUCUCGUCUGUUCUUCCCUGGUGCCCCUCGCACUACUCUCAUCUUCUCUCAAUUUAGCGAAGAACCCAAAUGAGAAGCCCUAAUUUCAAAAUCCGAAAUCGCCGUCACCCGAGCCCGAAAUUCGGCAAUACAGCAUCCUCCUCUUCGACGUGGUCGAAGUUCUCGCACCGGAAGUCCUCGCCGUUCCCCCUUCUUUUCCGGUGUGGAGCCCUAAUUCUUAGUAGAAGGAAAUUACUACUGUCGCGACUGGAAGGCCAACGAACGGCUGAGCUUCGCCCAUCUCUGCCUUGAAUCCAUGCUCGAGAAGGAGAGAAAGGAAAACGAGCCCUAAUUCUUUUCUACUCCCGCCGUCAUGGUUCGGCUGCCACCUCCGCCGUCUGUGGAAGACCGGCGAUUCAGCGGCGCCGCUCCAUUCACAACGCCGCUACUGCUGCUACACGAUCCCCUCCGAGGCAGCAAGCGCUGCUGUCAUCAUCGUCGUCUUGGCUCGACUGAACAGGGUCGCGUCCCUCGUCGUCGAAAAGUUAGUAUUCUACUUGUUAUUGUAGAAAGUGUUUGAUGUUGCUUGUGAUUUCUGAGUUCAUGCCAUAAUAAUCGAGGCAUAGGUGACUUCUCUCUAAGAUUCCUAAAGUGAGAUAUUAAACAAAAUGUUAUAUGUUUCUAAGUUAGUAAUUACUUUAAAUUAAGUAAAAUGAUGGCAGGAAUCAUAGCUUCAGCCCAAAGCUUCGAUUUUUGACCCUCCCUCAAGAACCCCAGAAUUUCAUCUUCUUUAUAUUUGUAUCAAUUGACUAUGUAUACAUGUCUAUAUGUAUGUGAAGAAUUGAUUGGGAUUUAUUUGGGUAUUUAUUCACAAGAAAACAUGAUUCCCUAAUAGUUUAGUUUAAGUGGAUUUGGGAGUUCUUGGAAUAAGCUAGCUACAUGUUUGAUGCUUGUGUAAUUGUACUCCUUGAAUUGUAAAAUGAGAUUAUAUGACAAUAGUUGGAGGAUAUCAAGCAUGCUACUAUAUGUUGAUGUGUUGAACAUGAAUUACGUUUAAGCUAAAGCAUGCUAAUGUGUAGUAAGAUGAUGUAUUUGAGUUACUAUAGCUUUUAUUUGAUAAAAAUAUGAGUUAUAUGUUGAGUUGAGAUGAAGAAGGUAUUGCUGUUGGUUUUGCUGUACAGGACAGUACCUUGUAAGGUAUUUUCGGGAGUGUUCCUGUGAUCCAAAUAACUUGAAUUUUACUGUAUAACUUCAUCAUGAGUAGUAGAUCUCUGCAAAUUUCAGCUAAAUCCGAGACCAAUAGACAUGUCAAACUAUUUUCUGAAAUGUACUGCGUGAAGCAGCGUAGUUCAGUGGCAGAUUCUACCUUUGGUGAUAUAACUUCUUAUACACUUGAGAUAUUGUAUUUUUGUAAAUUUCUAAGAAAUAUAGACGUUAAUAGCUUUCUAAAAAGGUAAAGCUCGUAUUUUUCCUUGAAGCGAUUGAUUUUAUAUGAUUUUCCAAAGUUAGGAUUCAAAUGUGUAUGUGUCUUGAUUAAACUUGUGAUUGGUAGUUAAUUGAGAUCCUACACUACUAAACUUGAAUUGAGGUUUUAUUGUUCUAACUACCUAUUGAGGAUUAUUGAUUACUAAAGCUUGUUAAUAUGAUAGUUGAUGGACAUAAUUAUGUUUAUAUGAUUAAUUACUUUGGGAUUUUGUGUUUUACAUGUAUGGUUAGUUGUAAACUGAUCUCUAUGGAAUGGAUUUGUUUACUUCUAAACUUUCUCAAGUAGAGGAAUUCCUAUAAGAUAGGAAUAUUAGUUUAUACUUUCUUAAAGUUCAUAAGAGUUAGUAUAUUGGUUAGUUUAGUUGAUUCAACCCUAGCUCUGCAGAAGAUUAAAAGUUUAUUGGGAUGUUAUUUAUAGCUAAUUCUUCUUAUCUAGUUAUCCAAUCUUAUUUUAGAAUCUUGCUAUUAUGAAGGUGACAGUAGCAAUGAUAGAUAAGUGAGCAAGAGUUUCUACAUCGUUAAGCGUAUCAGGUGGGCUUUCUAAACUCAUAAUUUGAAGUGCGCACUAUUUAAUUAUGUUAUUAUAUGAAUGAAGUUAUAUUAAAGUUAUUGACUUGCCAAAACUUUUAUGAGCUUGUAUGUUACCAUCUACGAGAGAUAGACGAUAUCGGCCCUAUGCUGAAGCGAGAUGUCAGUAAGGGUUUGUGCACAUAGUUGUGACCGUGAGUCAUCGAGCGGGUUGGCCGGUCACUGUGAUCGGGAGCCUUCGGGCCGAUCACUGUGUUUGAGAAGGAGGCCUACUUCUCAACACAAGGUUACAUGAUGCGUAGUUAUGGUACAUACAUGUUAAUUGUCUGCAGACGUAUAUGAUAUUAUGAUGAUAUAUAUAUAGAAGUUUUACAGUUUUGGCGUGCACAGGUUAUUUAAAUAAAACUCCUGUGUGAUGCUUGAGAUGGCAAGUUCAAUAUAUAGCUCUAAGAGCAAACUUUAAAGUUAUUUCGGCAUGUGACCAUUGAGUACCUUUUUAGUACUCAGCCCUGCAUAUGUUUCUAAAUGUGCAGGUUAAGCUGUGAUGCAGAUGGAGGCGAGCAGAGCAAAGCUUUUGAAGUAUAAGUAUUAAAUUAGGCUCAGGAUUUCAUGUCUUCAUACAUGUAAUCCACUUAAGUUAUUCCGCUGCAACACUUAGUGUAUUUUACUUUAUUGAUGUGUUGUACAGAUUUUAAACCAAUAGCUUCGAAAAUUAUGUCACUUGAAAAUUUGACAACUUGUCGUUAUGUAUUGUGAGUUGUCUGCUUUGAGUUUUAGAAAAGAUUGUUUAUGAUUACCAAAUAUUUAGGUAAAUUAUUGUUUAAGCAAGAUGAUUAUUUUUAUUGAAACCUCUUUUAUUUUCCAUUUUCUUUUUCCAUUUCCCCAGUCACAUUUUCCCCGGCUUAACUGUUGUUAGCUUAGGUCGGGCUGUGACAGAGUGGUAUCAGAGCAG